UACGGGGGGGGCUAGCGUUGUUCGGAAUCACUGGGCGUAAAGGGCGUGUAGGCGGUCAGGUAAGUGGGAUGUGAAAUGCCUCGGCUCACCCGAGGCACUGCAUUCCAAACUGCUUGGCUUGAGUAUGGGAGAGGAUGAGGGAAUUCCUGGUGUAGCGGUGAAAUGCGUAGAUAUCAGGAGGAACACCGGUGGCGAAGGCGCUCAUCUGGCCCAAUACUGACGCUGAGGCGCGAAAGCUAGGGGAGCAAACGGG
rnacentral:rRNA from 1 species